rnacentral:pre_miRNA from 2 species
UCUUGCCUGAUUCCAGGCUGAGGUAGUAGUUUGUACAGUUUGAGGGUCUAUGAUACCACCCGGUACAGGAGAUAACUGUACAGGCCACUGCCUUGCCUGGGAC